GUGAGGCCGAGCCCAUCCUUCAGGUCACGCGCCCAUCCCUGAACCAAUCACUGGAAAGUCGAGUAACCCUGGCUCCACGAGCAAACCACUCCUAUGGGAGUGACUAAGCCCUGUCAGUGGUUCGCCCCUGCAGUUGUAACCCUGGAGAAUCCUGAGAACACCUUCAAGUAGUCAGUGGGACCCUGAGGACAGCCCCCCCCCCCCAGAUCUGGGUGUAGUUUUCGAGGCUGGGCCUCGCUGGGCUCCCGGGGCCUUCUGGGAAGUUCGGGUAGUAGCUCCGCCGCACCUGAGAGUCAGCAGAAGGCCCGGAAGCUUCUGGAAAUAGUGGAUCAGGUGCAAAGGUAAAACCCAGACCAGAGAGGGCCGGAGGGAGGUAGCAGAGAGCAAAGCUCUCGGGAUCCAUCACUGCCACUGUCGCCUGCCUUGGAGACAGACGAACUCCGGAAAGGAUAACAGAUCUGGAGCUAAGCAAAGGCUGCUGAGUGGACUGCAGUUUCCAGCCGGCCCUGUGGCCAAGUCCUCAUCAAGAGUGUGAGGAGCCCUGCAGUAGGAACUGCUUCUGUGUUGGGUCCAUGCAGAGUGGGGGCGUCUGCUCCAAGACCCCUAAGAUCAGGCUGUGGCAGCACUCCAGCCAUGCUGGAUCAGCACCCUAAGGAAAAGCUCAAGGCUCAAGACUUAGAAUUAUUUUCACCAUCCUCAAAGAUCCUGUAUCAUUUUGUGGUUUUAAUUAACCAAACAUUUUGUACAAUACUGCAAAUAAGGAAGAGAACUCUUUAUCUUUUGAAAACACAUGUUCCUUGAUUUACAGUGGGAUUGUAAACCAAUUCACCCAUUGCAACUUGAAAAUGUCUUAAGUUAAAAAUGCACAUGAUUCACCUAGCUGGGUGAGCAUCUCAGCAACACGACACACUGCAGUGCUGGUUGCCCCUUGUGAUGGACAGCUGUGACUCACCAUCACCACUCAGCACCACCAAAGGGUUGCACUGAAGAUCGCCAGCCCUGGAGAGAUCAAGAUUCAAAGUUUGGUUUCUACUGAAUGUAGAAAUUUAGGGGCCAGGGCUGGGGAUUUAGCUCAGUGGUUCCACCACCUGCCUCGCAAGCACAAGGUCCCAAGUUUGAUCCCCGGUACUAAAAAAAAAAAAAAAAUUCAGGGGCCAGGGAUGCAGCUCAGCGGUGCAACAUCUGCCAGGCAAGCGCGAGGCCCUGAGUUUGAUUCCCAAAAGAGAAAAAGAAGAAGAAAUUCAGGCACCGUCCUUCAGUUGGAAAAUUGUAGGUACUACCACCAUGAAGUUGGGACCACAUCCACACCUGUACGUCUGUAUCUCUAUAUCCAUCUACCUGUCUGCCUGUCUUCUCAUUGGCUCUGCGUCUCUGGGGAACCUGAGACAGACGAGAGACUUGCUGACUCCAGCCUCUGUGUUACUGGGUCUCUUCGUUACCGCAGCCCCCGACCCUUACUAAUUUGGAUGUUGAUUGGUUUCCAUGAGUGUGUCCACUGCUGGCUUGGCUUCUGUGACCUUCUUAUCCUUUAAGGUCCUUUGCUGGCUUCAUGUCACUCUCCAGGAAUUGUACAUAUUGAGUGUAUGCACCUGUUGAUUGUAAUAUUUACUGCAAAUUUGUUGAGGUUGGUCCCUAGUCUCUUUGCUUCAUUUUGGGCAGCUUUCAUCCUGGAGAAUACAUUGCAGCUCGCGAUGCUGGUGACAGAAAUCCCGCUGGCUCCACUGUGCUGCAGAGGCUACUUACUGAGCCAUCCGUCUGCCUGCUCUCUUCAUGGCGCUAGAGAUUCCUGCAGGAAACAUAAGACAUCUCUCAAUUUUCAUCCUUUAGUACAAUUUUUAAAUGUUUUUGUAAGUCCUCCAGAAUUUUGGUUAGGUUUAUUCCUGCAUUAUAUUUUUUGUUGCCAUUGCAAAUGCUCUUUUCUACUUGGUGUAAGGAAAAGGUGUUGCUUUCUAUGUCUGGUCUGUGGCCUCUUGCCAUCUGACUGAUUUCUGUACCCUAUCAAACCUGUCCCAGGAUGGUACUUCUAUGAAGUACCUGAAUUAUCCUAGUUUACGCGGGGUUCUCUCUGAGUCUUCUGCACACUCUUGGUUUCCUUCAGAUGUGUAGAGAUUCUUGGUCAUCCGAUCCCACUUCUCAACGAGAGCCAGGACGGUGGCUGUCAAAGUACGAACCAUAGAUUCCUGGAGGAGAGGAGUCAGGUCCUGAGACUUUAUCAAGAUUGCCUACAAGGUCAGAGCUAUUGAGUAGGAAUACAAAGAUGUUUUCUUCCCUCAUGGAUGUUCAGCGAGUCUACAGCAUGUGUAAUAUCACAAGAGGUCGAGAGCAGAGCAGAUAGAAAAAUCCAACUGGCCAUAAGCCAGACUUUGAAAAGACUUUUUAAAAUUCAAAGGAAUAUUACUUUUCUUACUAAAUAGUUUUUAGAAAAGUAUAGCUAUUUUCAUAAAUGUUAUUUGAAGUAACAUGCCAUUGUUAUUAUUAAAUAAAGAAAUACUUAAACAUUU
ensembl:lncRNA